rnacentral:snoRNA from 1 species
UCNUUCUUUUAAGGNUGGUGCUGUACUUUAAGAGGCUAACACAGAGGGUAAAGGAACUCCGUAAGAUCCAGGGAGGANACUGUAAGCCUCCCCUUUGGAUCCUGUCUAGUUACAGCU